rnacentral:rRNA from 1 species
GAUGAACGCUGGCGGCGUGCCUAAUACAUGCAAGUCGAACGCACAGCGAAAGGUGCUUGCACCUUUCAAGUGAGUGGCGAACGGGUGAGUAACACGUGGAUAACCUACCUCAAGGUUGGGGAUAACAUUUGGAAACAGAUGCUAAUACCGAAUAAAACUUAGUAUCGCAUGAUACCAGGUUAAAAGGCGCUACGGCGUCACCUAGAGAUGGAUCCGCGGUGCAUUAGUUAGUUGGUGGGUAAAGGCUUACCAAGACAAUGAUGCAUAGCCGAGUUAAGAGACUGAUCGGCACAUUGGGACUGAGACACGGCCAAACUCCUACGGGAGGCUGCAGUAGGGAAUCUUCCACAAUGGGCGAAAGCCUGAUGGAGCAACGCCGCGUGUGUGAUG